rnacentral:rRNA from 1 species
GUACACGCUGUGACUAGCAUAUCAAUAAGCGGAGGAAAAGAAACUAACAAGGAUUCCCCUAGUAACGGCGAGUGAAGCGGGAAGAGCUCAAAUUUGAAAUCUUAAGGGUUUCCCUUUACGAAUUGUAGUUUAAAGAAGUGUUUUCUGUUGAGGUUUUGGUAAAAGUUCUUUGGAAUAGGACAUCAUAGAGGGUGAGAAUCCCGUAUUUGACCUUUACUUUCAACUUUGUGAUACACUUUCAAAGAGUCGGAUUGUUUGGGAAUGCAGUCCAAAAUGGGUGGUAAAUUUCAUCUAAAGCUAAAUAUUGGCGAGAGACCGAUAGCGAACAAGUACCGUGAGGGAAAGAUGAAAAGAACUUUGAAAAGAGAGUUAAACAGUACGUGAAAUUGUCAAAAGGGAAGCGUUUGACACCAGUGUUGUUUUUCUGAAAAUCAAUUAAAGAACUGUUUAUGCUAAGCUGUUUAGACUUUAUCAGCUAACUGUUUAGUUUUGAGCUUUUCUUUAAUGCACUUUUCAGUUAACAAGUCAACAUCAAUUUCUUUUGCUGUAAAAAAGCUUGAGGAAGGUGGCUUGAGAUUCGUCUUAAGUGUUUAUAGCCUCUUGCCUAUGCAGUCGGAGAGAUUGAGGUCUGCAGCGUAGAUCCUUCGGGGCUAAAUGCAUUUGUGCUAAGUUAUAGCAUUUUAUAGACAACUUGUUGACUAUGAUUUGUCUUGUAGCUUACUCGCUUAUGUUAUUUUACCUACGCUUAGGAUGUUGAGUCGUAGAGCACGCAG